AUGGAUCCCGAUGUGGAGCACCAUGGAUCCCGAUGUGGAGCUCCACUAUGGCCCGAUCUGACCUGGGAGCAACUAGAUCCGUGUGUCUCCGCCUCACUCCGCGCGCCUCCAUGGUCCGCCGUCUUCCCGAGCGCCGGCGCCGCGCUCAGCCGCCGCCGUCCCAUGCCAUGGUCGCCUCCCUCCAGAACGAUGUGCCAUGGCCGCCUCCCUGCCUCUCCCACAAGUGGGACUCUGCACCCCUGGCCUAGCAUAUUAAUGGAGGGCGCUGCCGACGUCGGUUCAUGCCUCGGUGCUCCUCACAUUAACUCCCAGCACCCGUACAUCAGCCCCAAGGCACCACGCGAUUCCGGCAGCUCCAUUGGGGAAGCACCAAGGACAAUUUCGCUUCAAUUUAAUGUGAGCUCAAUCCUCAAAGCUUGCACAUGGAUCCCUUAUAGUAUGCAAUCAAGCUUGAUGAUAAAAUCUUGGAGAGACACUAGGUGCCAGGUUGGAGAUUUGGGAUCGGAUGCGCCAAUAACAAGGGACCAAGGUGCUGAACUAAUGGGUAAUGGCACGGGCAGAAUGAUUCUUCAGUCUUUCAGCCAAGCUCUGGUGAAUGAUGACGGAGAAAAAGAUAUCGUGACAGAGGAGGAUGUCUUCUUGCGUCCAACCCUAGAUCACAGGGGCUCUCUUAUCAGCAAAAUAGCUACUCUAGAUGCGCAGAUGACGAUCGCAAGAGAUCAUAUCUUGAGGAUAAGUGAAUGA
rnacentral:rRNA from 1 species